rnacentral:rRNA from 1 species
UACGGGGGGGGUAAGCGUUGUUCGGAAUUACUGGGCGUAAAGGGCUCGUAGGCGGCCAACUAAGUCGGACGUGAAAUCCCUCAGCUUAACUGGGGAACUGCGUCCGAUACUGGAUGGCUUGGAUUUGGGAGAGGGAUGCGGAAUUCCAGGUGUAGCGGUGAAAUGCGUAGAUAUCAGGAGGAACACCUGUGGUGUAGACAGCUUACUGGACCACUUCUGACGCUGAGACACGAAAGCGUGGGUAGCAAACAGG